UGAACUGGGUUUGUUGGCUGC
rnacentral:miRNA from 1 species